CUUCUAGUAUAGAUUUGGACUUUGGGUAUACAUACAUACAUGUUGUAUGCUAGGAGACAUUGCUUACUUGCAUUCAUAUAAACAAUGUUGCUAUGAUAAAGGAUAAUCCUCAUAAUUUCAUUAAGCAAACCAUGACAUUAUUUAUGGCUAAGUAGAGACAUAUUCUUCAUGACAAGAUAAUUGUGCAUUACAUAAAUGCCAUGUUUAAUUGCAAGUAAUAUUUUAGCAUUUUCAUUAUGCUUUCAUAAAUGCAAAUUACUCGUUAUUGCUAUUGCUUUUGACUUACCCUUUUCUUUUGGGCCUAGUGGUGCAAUGAGCUGAGGUCAGUAAUUGCCCACUGGGAACUAUAAAUUAUAGUUCUCACGCCCUCUGUUUUAUGUUUUCUUUCAGAGCCUUCCACGCCGGGAGAGGCUAGGGACCGCGGGAAGGGAGUUGCUUCGAGCUAGCUUCCUUCGAGGACGAUUUGAUAGGUGGUCUACCUCCCGUGGUUUUAUUUUGUGAGAGGUUGUGAGUUGUACCCGUUUAUGUAUAGAGACCAUCCUUCUUUUGGAUCUUUGUUUUCCUUUUGAGGAGAUAGUAUUGUACUACUUUAUGGCUACAUUUAUUGUUUAGUUAUGUUUCUUUUACUCUGGUUUAGAUGAUAGAACUUUACUCGCUCUGAUAUCAUUAGUUAUCACUAUGCUAUUUGUUCUACUUCUUGCUUUACUUCCGCUUUUGUUGUAGACGCCUUAUAUGUGUAGACAUAUGGCGGGUCUGGGCGCGCUACCGGGAGGGCCUUCGCCGGUCCCGGGGCGUGACAGACACGGUGUUAAGAAUGAAUAAUCACUACUAGAUAGGCUUAGUAGUUGGAUUACUUGACACGCUCAUGACAUAGCAUUGGGAUAUAUAUAGUAUACUUGCCUGUUUCAUUCAUUGUGUCAUAGUAUACUGGGUUGCAUGAUAGAGCUCAUUCUUUAUGUAUGACAUCUUGGACAGUAGCGUUUACUUGUUGCCAUCGGACGUACUUAUUUAUGAUAGAGUAGAUGUACAUCAUACUUACAUCAUGCUUACUUGAGACAUAGUAAUAUAGCAUUUCAUAUAUGCUUUCUUUCAGCAGUUAUUGUACUCGCUCUUUAUUGCUUAUUAUUAUUGUCGUUACUUACCCUUUUCUUUUGGGGCCUAGUAGUGCAUUGAGCUGAGGUCAGUAAUUGCCCACUGGGAACUAUAAAUUAUAGUUCUCACGCCCUCUGUUUUGUGUUUUCUUUCAGAGCCUUCCACGCCGGGAGAGGUUAGGGACCGAGGAAAGGGCGUGGCUUCGAGCUAGCUCUUCAGCGAGUGACGAGUCGCUAGGUGGUCUACCUCUCGAUGUUUUUAUUUUGGAGAGGUUGAGAGCUGUACCAGUGUACUAGAGACCACCCCUUUUGUGUACCUUUUUGGACAGAUAUUGUAUAUCUUUGUGUUUCACUCUU
rnacentral:lncRNA from 1 species